rnacentral:lncRNA from 1 species
GCCAAUAAUAGUCAACUUCUCAACUAAGAAUAAUAUCAUAGUAUUAUUCUCACAUCGAAUUUGAGCUUACAAUUCACUUGAAUAAUUAAUGAUCAAAAUAACCAUAAUGUGCAAUAAAAUUUUUAUGUCAGUCUUUUUGUAAUUACUUUCAAUUAAAAUCUAACUAAUCAUAUUAUGAUCUAUAGAUCAUCCUGUUAGAUGUGUUCCUUAGAUGCC